GGUGAACGCUGGCGGCGUGCCUAACACAUGCAAGUCGAGCGGUGCAGUUUGAAGCUUCGGUGAAAGCUGCAUAGCGGCGGACGGGUGAGGAAAACGUAGGAACGUGCCCCUUGGAGUUGGAUAGCCACGGGAAACUGUGGGUAAACCGACAUAGACUCGAGAGAGUAAAGGCCGAAAGGCGCCAAGGGAGCGGCCUGCGGCCCAUCAGGUAGUUGGUAGUGUAAAGGACUACCAAGCCGACGACGGGUAGCCGGUCUGAGAGGAUGGCCGGCCACAAGGGCACUGAGAGACGGGCCCUACUCCUACGGGAGGCAGCAGUGGGGGAUUUUGGACAAUGGGCGAAAGCCUGAUCCAGCGACGCCGCGUGGAGGACGAAGCCCUUCGGGGUGUAAACUCCUUUUCUCAGGGAAAAAGGAUGAUGGUACCUGAGGAAUAAGCCCCGGCUAACUACGUG
rnacentral:rRNA from 1 species